UUCGCGGAGAGUUUGAUCCUGGCUCAGGACGAACGCUGGCGGCGUGCUUAACACAUGCAAGUCGAACGGAGCGAAUGAAAGCUUGCUUUUAUAAGCUUAGUGGCAAACGGGUGAGUAACACGUAGGCAACCUGCCGACAGGAUGGGGACAACAUUCCGAAAGGAAUGCUAAUACCGAAUGAAGCGCAGGAGAGGCAUCUCUCCUGCGUGAAAGAUGGCCUCUAUAUAUAAGCUAUCACCUGGCGAUGGGCCUGCGGCUGAUUAGCUGGUAGGUGAGGUAACGGCUCACCUAGGCGACGAUCAGUAGCCGGUCUGAGAGGAUGAACGGCCACAUUGGGACUGAGACACGGCCCAGAC
rnacentral:rRNA from 1 species